rnacentral:tRNA from 1 species
GAGGGUAUAGCUCAAGUGGUAGAGCACAUGUUUAGCAUGCACAAGGUCCUGGAUUCAAUCCCCAGUACCUCCU